UUAUGGUUAGUGUCUCGUGAUCGUGAC
rnacentral:sRNA from 1 species